rnacentral:rRNA from 1 species
UACGGAGGGUGCAAGCGUUAUCCGGAUUCACUGGGUUUAAAGGGUGCGUAGGCGGGCAGGUAAGUCCGUGGUGAAAUCUCUGAGCUUAACUCAGAAACUGCCAUGGAUACUAUUUGUCUUGAAUAUUGUGGAGGUAAGCGGAAUAUGUCAUGUAGCGGUGAAAUGCUUAGAUAUGACAUAGAACACCAAUUGCGAAAGGCAGCU